UCCGUAGGUGAACCUGCGGAAGGAUCAUUAUUGAAUUUAUAAAUAUGACUUGAGGCUGUUGCUGGUGACUUUUUGGACACAUGUGCACGUCUCUUGCUUAUUUUGUUAACCAUUUCCACCUGUGCAUGCUGUGUAGAUGCCUAGGAUUGAGAGCCAAAGUUUUUGGUUUUGGUUUUAAAAUCUAGGUGUCUAUGUUUUAUUACACUUAUGGGUUUGGGUGAUUUUUGAAUGGGGAAUAAGGAGAUAAAAAUAAGUACAACUUUCAACAAUGGAUCUCUUGGCUCUCGCAUCGAUGAAGAACGCAGCGAAAUGCGAUAAGUAAUGUGAAUUGCAGAAUUCAGUGAAUCAUCGAAUGUUUGAACGCAUCUUGCGCUCCUUGGUAUUCCUUGGAGCAUGCCUGUUUGAGUGUCAUUAAAUUGUCAAGACUACUAUCUGAAGUAUGAUUUAGAAAGUAGAUUUUGGAGUAUGGGAGUUUUGCAGGUUCAUGUUAUUUGGACUAGCUCUCCUGAAAUGGAUUAGCAAAAAAGCUGGUUAUGAGCCUUUAUUGGUGUGAUAACGUUGAUUGAUCACCAGAAAAUAAAAAGGAACAUUGGAGUAUUUUGCUGCUAUGAAAUGAAUGAUAAAGUCGACCUCAAAUCAGGUAGGACUACCCGC
rnacentral:rRNA from 1 species